rnacentral:antisense_RNA from 17 species
CGUCAUGGCAGUUGCACGCGGGAGGCCGUAUGGCCUGCCGGGGUUCCGAUAGCCCGGCUUUCCACCCCGCGUGCAGCCGCCACCCUU